rnacentral:tRNA from 1 species
AAAAAAUUAGUUAAAUUAUAACAUUAGUAUGUCAAACUAAAAUUAUUAAUCCAAUUAAUAUUUUUUA